AAGUCGAACGGGGUAGCAAUACCUAGUGGCGGACGGGUGAGUAACGCGUGAGAAUCCACCUUUAGGAUGGGGACAACAAGAGGAAACUCUUGCUAAUACCCAAUGAGCCGAAAGGUAAAAGUAAUUCGCCUAAAGAGGAGCUCGCGUCCGAUUAGUUAGUUGGUGGGGUAAAGGCCUACCAAGGCAGCGAUCGGUAGCUGGUCUGAGAGGAUGAGCAGCCACACUGGGACUGAGACACGGCCCAGACUCCUACGGGAGGCAGCAGUGGGGAAUUUUCCGCAAUGGGCGAAAGCCUGACGGAGCAAUACCGCGUGAGGGAGGAAGGCUCUUGGGUUGUAAACCUCUUUUCUUAGGGAAGAAACCUGACGGUACCUAAGGAAUCAGCAUCGGCUAACUCCGUGCCAGCAGCCGCGGUAAUACGGAGGAUGCAAGCGUUAUCCGGAAUUAUUGGGCGUAAAGCGUCCGUAGGUGGCAUUUCAAGUCUGCCGUUAAAGCCCGAAGCUUAACUUUGGAAAAGCGGUGGAAACUGAGAAGCUAGAGUGCGGUAGGGGUAGAGGGAAUUCCCAGUGUAGCGGUGAAAUGCGUAGAGAUUGGGGAAGAACACCGGUGGCGAAAGCGCUCUACUGGGCCGC
rnacentral:rRNA from 1 species